GUGCACCCUUGGGCAGCACAUAUACUAAAAUUGGAAUGAUAGAAGAUUAACAUAGCUCCUGUGCAAGGAUGACACACAAAUUAAUGAAACAUUCCAUGAUUUU
ensembl:snRNA U6 U6 spliceosomal RNA